GAUGAACGCUAGCGGCAGGCCUAACACAUGCAAGUCGAGGGAGAAGCCCUUUCGGGGGCAGAAACCGGCGCACGGGUGCGUAACGCGUAUGCAACCUACCUUUCACAGGGGGAUAGCCCGAAGAAAUUUGGAUUAAUACCCCAUAAUAUUAUUGGAUGGCAUCAUUUGAUAAUUAAAACUGCGGUGGUGAAAGAUGGGCAUGCGUCCUAUUAGCUAGUUGGAGUGGUAACGGCACCCCAAGGCUACGAUAGGUAGGGGUCCUGAGAGGGAGAUCCCCCACACUGGUACUGAGACAGGGACCAGACACCUACGGGAGGCAGCAGUGAGGAAUAUUGGUCAAUGGUCGGAAGACUGAACCAGCCAUGCCGCGUGCAGGAAGAAUGCCUUAUGGGUUGUAAACUGCUUUUAUAUGGGAAGAAUAAGGCGUACGUGUACGUUGAUGACGGUGCCAUAUGAAUAAGCAUCGGCUAACUCCGUG
rnacentral:rRNA from 1 species